rnacentral:rRNA from 1 species
AGAGUUUGAUCCUGGCUCAGGACGAACGCUGGCGGCGUGCCUAAUACAUGCAAGUAGAACGCUGAAGACUUUAGCUUGCUAGAGUUGGAAGAGUUGCGAACGGGUGAGUAACGCGUAGGUAACCUGCCUACUAGCGGGGGAUAACUAUUGGAAACGAUAGCUAAUACCGCAUAACAGUGUUUAACACAUGUUAGAUGCUUGAAAGAUGCAAUUGCAUCACUAGUAGAUGGACCUGCGUUGUAUUAGCUAGUUGGUGGGGUAACGGCCUACCAAGGCGACGAUACAUAGCCGACCUGAGAGGGUGAUCGGCCACACUGGGACUGAGACACGGCCCAGACUCCUACGGGAGGCAGCAGUAGGGAAUCUUCGGCAAUGGGGGCAACCCUGACCGAGCAACGCCGCGUGAGUGAAGAAGGUUUUCGGAUCGUAAAGCUCUGUUGUUAAGAAAAGAACGUUGUUUGAGAGUGGGAAAGUUCACACAGUGACGGUAACUUACCAGAAAGGGGACGGCUAACUACGUGGCCAGCAGCCGCGGUAAU